CCUACGGGUGGCUGCAGUGGGGAAUAUUGGACAAUGGGCGAAAGCCUGAUCCAGCCAUGCCGCGUGUGUGAAGAAGGCCUUCGGGUUGUAAAGCACUUUCAGUGGGGAAGAAAGCCUUGGGGCUAAUACCCUCGAGGAAGGACAUCACCCACAGAAGAAGCACCGGCUAACUCCGUGCCAGCAGCCGCGGUAAUACGGAGGGUGCGAGCGUUGAAUCGGAAUUACUGGGCGUAAAGCGCGCGUAGGCGGUCUGAUAAGCCGGUUGUGAAAGCCCCGGGCUCAACCUGGGAACGGCAUCCGGAACUGUCAGGCUAGAGUGCAGGAGAGGAAGGUAGAAUUCCCGGUGUAGCGGUGAAAUGCGUAGAGAUCGGGAGGAAUACCAGUGGCGAAGGCGGCCUUCUGGACUGACACUGACGCUGAGGUGCGAAAGCGUGGGUAGCAAACAGGAUUAGAUACCCUAGUAGUC
rnacentral:rRNA from 1 species